rnacentral:rRNA from 1 species
UACGGAUGGUGCGAGCGUUGUUCGGAUUCAUUGGGCGUAAAGGGCACGCAGGCGGUUAUAUAAGUCAGUAGACUAAUCCCACGGCUUAACUGUGGAUCCUCUAUUGAAACUGUAUGACUUGAGUUCAGGAGAGGAGAGUGGAAUUCCUGGUGUAGCGGUGAAAUGCGUAGAUAUCAGGAGGAAGACCAGUGGCGAAGGCUACUCUCUGGACUGUAACUGACGCUGAGGUGCGAAAGCGUGGGUAGCAAACAGGAUUAGAUACCCCCGUA